GUGGGGAAUAUUGGACAAUGGGCGAAAGCCUGAUCCAGCCAUGCCGCGUGUGUGAAGAAGGUCUUCGGAUUGUAAAGCACUUUAAGUUGGGAGGAAGGGUAGUAACCUAAUACGUUGCUACUUUGACGUUACCGACAGAAUAAGCACCGGCUAACUUCGUGCCAGCAGCCGCGGUAAUACGAAGGGUGCAAGCGUUAAUCGGAAUUACUGGGCGUAAAGCGCGCGUAGGUGGUUCAGUAAGUUGGAGGUGAAAUCCCCGGGCUCAACCUGGGAACUGCCUCCAAAACUGCAUGACUAGAGUACGGUAGAGGGUAGUGGAAUUUCCUGUGUAGCGGUGAAAUGCGUAGAUAUAGGAAGGAACACCAGUGGCGAAGGCGACUACCUGGACUGAUACUGACACUGAGGUGCGAAAGCGUGGGGAGCAAACAGGAUUAGAAACCCCAGUAGUCC
rnacentral:rRNA from 1 species